rnacentral:lncRNA from 1 species
UUAUUUUUAAAUAGUAUAGAUUUAUGAUAAGAAAAAAAUAUUUUGUUAGUAUUAUAUAGUUUGUUUAGUAUUAUUUUUAUGUUUUGUUUUAAAAGUUAUUUUGUUUAUUGUGGUUUCUUAGUAAAUUUUGUAUUUAGAUUAAUUAUGUGUUUAUUGUGAAUGUUAUGUUUUAAAUUUUUUUAAUAUAUUUGAAAGUUUUUAUGUUAGUAAAACUAUUAUAAAGUAAUUGUUAAUUAGUGAUAACAACUGAAAAUAUUUCUGUUAUACAUAUUGUUAGAAAUGGCAACAUAUUUGGUAUUACCUGAUGAGAUAAUAACUU